rnacentral:lncRNA from 1 species
GAACAUCAUAUAUCACACAAUCAUGAAAUCACAACCAUCACAAUGAAGUAUUCAUCGACAUAUAUCACUUAACAAUAAUUCAACCAACUUAGCCCUAGUUCAUCACCUAAGGCUUUUUUCUAUGAUUUAAAUCAUCUUCUGUUCGGUGCACGAAGGCCUACGCAUAAAUCCUACCAUUGAUUUACAUUAAAUAUGAAGUGAGCACAGAUUUAUAACUACUCAAUUAAUAAAACCUAGCCUACCUGGGUGCCAAGCAUUCGUAGAAUUGUAAAUAAUUUUUUGAUUUUCGGACGAUGGAACGGUGGAUUUAAUUGGAAUUUGACAAGCUUUUGCCAUCCCCAUGCUAGAACUCUCUUCCUCCUUCUUUCCCCAGCUUAGAGCAGCUUUUGGAG